UCUCCUGAAGCUCAGUGGCGGAGCAUCCAACUGGUGUGCGGAAACUCGUAGGUUCGACUCCUGUUGGGAGAA